CCUGCUUCAGAUUCUCUGUUCCCCCUCCCCCCUGUGCCCCAUCCUAAAUCAACAUUAAAAAAAGGAAAGUGGGCAUGAUGUACUAUGUAAGAGAAACUACAGAAAAGAAGGCCUUUUGUAAUGUAAUGAAUGUAUUGAGCUGCUGUAUAUGAGAAGCUCCAUGCCAAAUAUUGGGGAUUAUAUGGGUCCCUUGGAAAAUCCUGCUCAUGGGGUAAGAAAUCUUUUGGAUCUUUAUAUGUGACAGCUCUUUACUCACCCUCAACACUGAGGAACGGUCAGCGAUAUUCCUAAGUUUUUAGGAUAUGAAGGAAAAAAAGAAAAAAAUGGAGGAGAAACAACCCUGAGAAGUCUUCCAGCUCACCUCUGCAGUGUCUCAAGUCUAAUCCUCCACAAAGCUUGAAGUUCCUUAGAGUUCACAGAGAGACUCUGGUAAUCCGUCAUUAAGCUAUAUUUCUCCUGGUCCUUGGCAAGACAGAACCUAGCAUGCUACACUUUCUGAAGAGGGAGUGCUACUCAGUUGUUGCUGUUGUCUCUGAGCUCAGAGGAGAGGUCCCUUGGGCUGUGAGCCAGACUUCUAAGGAGGGCAUGUCAGUCAAAUAGAGCUGAUAUCAACAGAGCUGGUUCUCUGAGUGCUGGGGAAACUGAAAACUGGAUUCACUUGCUGUUUUGGAAGAUGACUGUCACUGCCAAGGUGGAGACUCCUGGCUGAUCUGAUGCUCACAGGAAACAGAGCAGUCAGGAAGCCUACCAGAAACCAACAGAGAACAGGAAAGAGAAAGCCCCUUUCUUCCCCUCCAGCCUAGCUGGCUCUUUCUGGCUCCUGUCACUGCCAAAGCUUAACAGGCCUCAGUUUGUAUACAAGUAAAUGGUUUGCAGAGUGCCAUCACAAAGGGUUGGAGAAGGUGGGUUUAGAG